rnacentral:snoRNA from 1 species
GGCGCUCUGUGCGCCUGAUGCUCCGCCGCGUGACUAUCCCGUUAUGCAUAUCCUGUGUGCGCUCUAGCUCCAUCGGGGCCCUGAUGAGUCAGCAACAAACCAUGCAUUACACAAUUUUGC